rnacentral:rRNA from 1 species
CCCUUAGAUGUUCUGGGCUGCACGCGCGCUACACUGUCGGAUUCAGCGAGUCAUAUCCUUAACCGAAAGGUUUGGGUAAUCUUUUGAAAGUCCGACGUGAUGGGGAUUGAUCAUUGCAAUUAUUGAUCAUGAACGAGGAAUUCCUAGUAAGCGCGAGUCAUCAGCUCGCGUUGAUUACGUCCCUGCCCUUUGUACACACCGCCCGUCGCUACUACCGAUUGGGUGUGCUGGUGAAAUGUUCGGAUCGGCCGUUUGUCGCGGUUUCCGCGUCAUGUGGCUGAGAAGUUCAUUAAACCCUCCCACCUAGAGGAAGGAGAAGUCGUAACA